rnacentral:rRNA from 1 species
GAUCCUGGCUCAGGACGAACGCUGGCGGCGUGCCUAAUACAUGCAAGUCGAACGAGAGCGACCGGUGCUUGCACUGGUCAAUCUAGUGGCGAACGGGUGAGUAACACGUGGGUAACCUGCCCAUCAGAGGGGGAUAACAUUCGGAAACGAAUGCUAAAACCGCAUAGGUCCUUUAACUGCAUGGUUGAAAGGAGGAAAAAGAGGCGCAAGCUUCUGCUGAUGGAUGGACCCGCGGUGCA